rnacentral:rRNA from 1 species
AUUGAACGCUGGCGGCAGGCUUAACACAUGCAAGUCGAACGAGUGGCGGACGGGUGAGUAAUGCUUGGGAAUCUAGCUUAUGGCGGGGGAUAACUACGGGAAACUGUAGCUAAUACCGCGUACCAUAGGAUGAGCCCAAGUGGGAUUAGGUAGUGGGUGAGGUAAAGGCGCACCAAGCCGACGAUCUCUAGCUGGUCUGAGAGGGUGACCGGCCACACUGGGACUGAGACACGGCCCAGACUCCUACGGGAGGCAGCAGUGGGGAAUAUGGCGCAAUGGGGGCAACCUGACGCAGCCAUGCCGCGUGAGUGAAGAAGGCCUUCGGGUUGUAAAGUUCUUUCGGUAGCGAAGCGUUAACUACAGAGGAAGCACCGGCUAACUCCGUGCCAGCAGCCGCGGUAAUUC